GGACAUUGGCGGGCGUGCUAAUACAUGCAGUCGAGCGAACGGACGAGAAGCUUGCUUCUCUGAUGUUAGCGGCGGACGGGUGAGUAACACGUGGAUAACCUACCUAUAAGACUGGGAUAACUUCGGGAAACCGGAGCUAAUACCGGAUAAUAUUUUGAACCGCAUGGUUCAAAAGUGAAAGACGGUCUUGCUGUCACUUAUAGAUGGAUCCGCGCUGCAUUAGCUAGUUGGUAAGGUAACGGCUUACCAAGGCAACGAUGCAUAGCCGACCUGAGAGGGUGAUCGGCCACACUGGAACUGAGACACGGUCCAGACUCCUACGGGAGGCAGCAGUAGGGAAUCUUCCGCAAUGGGCGAAAGCCUGACGGAGCAACGCCGCGUGAGUGAUGAAGGUCUUCGGAUCGUAAAACUCUGUUAUUAGGGAAGAACAUAUGUGUAAGUAACUGUGCACAUCUUGACGGUACCUAAUCAGAAAGCCACGGCUAACUACGUGCCAGCAGCCGCGGUAAUACGUAGGUGGCAAGCGUUAUCCGGAAUUAUUGGGCGUAAAGCGCGCGUAGGCGGUUUUUUAAGUCUGAUGUGAAAGCCCACGGCUCAACCGUGGAGGGUCAUUGGAAACUGGAAAACUUGAGUGCAGAAGAGGAAAGUGGAAUUCCAUGUGUAGCGGUGAAAUGCGCAGAGAUAUGGAGGAACACCAGUGGCGAAGGCGACUUUCUGGUCUGUAACUGACGCUGAUGUGCGAAAGCGUGGGGAUCAAACAGGAUUAGAUACCCUGGUAGUCCACGCCGUAAACGAUGAGUGCUAAGUGUUAGGGGGUUUCCGCCCCUUAGUGCUGCAGCUAACGCAUUAAGCACUCCGCCUGGGGAGUACGACCGCAAGGUUGAAACUCAAAGGAAUUGACGGGGACCCGCACAAGCGGUGGAGCAUGUGGUUUAAUUCGAAGCAACGCGAAGAACCUUACCAAAUCUUGACAUCCUUUGACAACUCUAGAGAUAGAGCCUUCCCCUUCGGGGGACAAAGUGACAGGUGGUGCAUGGUUGUCGUCAGCUCGUGUCGUGAGAUGUUGGGUUAAGUCCCGCAACGAGCGCAACCCUUAAGCUUAGUUGCCAUCAUUAAGUUGGGCACUCUAAGUUGACUGCCGGUGACAAACCGGAGGAAGGUGGGGAUGACGUCAAAUCAUCAUGCCCCUUAUGAUUUGGGCUACACACGUGCUACAAUGGACAAUACAAAGGGCAGCGAAACCGCGAGGUCAAGCAAAUCCCAUAAAGUUGUUCUCAGUUCGGAUUGUAGUCUGCAACUCGACUACAUGAAGCUGGAAUCGCUAGUAAUCGUAGAUCAGCAUGCUACGGUGAAUACGUUCCCGGGUCUUGUACACACCGCCCGUCACACCACGAGAGUUUGUAACACCCGAAGCCGGUGGAGUAACCUUUUAGGAGCUAGCCGUCGAAGGUGAACAAGAUGG
rnacentral:rRNA from 1 species